UUGAGGAGAGCCACGUUCUA
rnacentral:siRNA from 1 species